AUACGGAGGAUGCGAGCGUUAUCCGGAUUUAUUGGGUUUAAAGGGUGCGUAGGUGGUAGAUUAAGUCAGCGGUUAAAUCGUGGGGCUCAACCCCAUUCUGCCGUUGAUACUGGGUGGCUUGAUUGCGGUCGAGGUUGGCGGAAUUCGUUGUGUAGCGGUGAAAUGCAUAGAUAUGACGAAGAACACCGAUUGCGUAGGCAGCUGACCAGACCGCAAAUGACGCUCAUGCACGAAAGUGCGGGGAUCGAACAGGAUUAGAUACCCUGGUAGUCCGCACAGUAAACGAUGAAUACUUGUUUUCGGCGAUAUAAUGUCGGAGGCAAAGCGAAAGCGAUAAGUAUUCCACCUGGGGAGUACGCCGGCAACGGUGAAACUCAAAUGAAUUGACGGGG
rnacentral:rRNA from 1 species